UAGGGAAUAUUAGAAAUGGACGAAAGUCUGAUCUAGCAACACCGCGUGUGCGAUGAAGGCCUUCGGGUCGUAAAGCACUUUUUGGAAGGAAUAGGAAGGAAUGUACUUCCAGAAUAAGUCUCGGCUAACUACGUGCCAGCAGCCGCGGUAACACGUAGGAGGCAAACGUUAUCCGGAUUUACUGGGCGUAAAGCGCACGCAGGCGGCUUGUUAAGUCAGAUGUGAAAGCCCCGGGCUCAACCUGGGAACUGCAUUUGAAACUGACAAGCUAGAGUCUUGUAGAGGGGGGUAGAAUUCCAGGUGUAGCGGUGAAAUGCGUAGAGAUCUGGAGGAAUACCGGUGGCGAAGGCGGCCCCCUGGACAGAGACUGACGCUCAGGUGCGAAAGCGUGGGGAGCAAACA
rnacentral:rRNA from 1 species